rnacentral:rRNA from 1 species
AAAGGAAUAGACGGGGGCCCGCACAAGCAGUGGAGUAUGUGGUUUAAUUCGAAGCAACGCGAAGAACCUUACCAGGGCUUGACAUCUACCGAAUCCCAAGAGAUUGGGAGUGCCUUCGGGAACGGUAAGACAGGUGGUGCAUGGUUGUCGUCAGCUCGUGUCGUGAGAUGUUGGGUUAAGUCCCGCAACGAGCGCAACCCUUAUUGUUAGUUGCCAUCAUUCAGUUGGGCACUCUAACAAGACUGCCGGUGACAAAUCGGAGGAAGGUGGGGACGACGUCAAAUCAUCAUGCCCCUUAUGUCCUGGGCUACACACGUACUACAAUGGCCGUUAACAAUGGGAAGCGAAAUCGCGAGGUGGAGCAAAUCCCCAAAAACGGUCCCAGUUCGGAUUGCAGGCUGAAACCCGCCUGCAUGAAGUUGGAAUUGCUAGUAAUCGCAAAUCAGCAUGUUGCGGUGAAUACGUUCCCGGGCCUUGUACACACCGCCCGU